rnacentral:misc_RNA from 1 species
AAAUGAUGAUGGAGGUAAUUCUUCUCAGAAGUUGGCCAAACAAGACCAAGAUGAUAUUUAUGACAGCAGAAAUGGAAAUGCACCAGUUAAAACAUCCUCUGAGGUACAUGUAUUAUCAAAUACCAGUACUCAAGGAGAUCCACAUGUAAAAGGUGAUGAUAUUAAAGUUGGCUCUGUUGGUGAUACAGAGGGAACAUCUAUUUCUGAAUCAUUGGGCACCUCGUUUUCUGGCUUCUCUACUUCACCUGCUGGUGGUGAAUCAUCUGAUGAUGUUUCUGUUAGUGAGAGUAUCAGUUCAAAUGAUGUUUCUGUUUCUGAGAGUAUCAGUUCAAAUGAACCCGAGGGAUCAGAUGGACAAAUAUCUUUUCAUACUGCCACUGAUGUGCUUGUGCCUGGUUUGAACAAGGUAGAUCAAACCAAGCCUCUGUCUCCAAAGUUUGCGAGGUUGAUUGAUUCUGUAGAUAGUAAUAAAUUCAGUAAAUUAAGUAAGAGUAAAUCUGGCAGCAAUGGUGGAGAGAAUUGGUAUGCAUCUACUCAUACUUCAGGUCAGAGCAUUAUUGCCAGGAACAAGGUUUCAAUAACUCAGCCUGGAAACGUUUCUUCUGGUUUCUGGGAUAGAACUCUCAGCUCUGUCAUGUCCAGCAAUGCUGUCCAGGCUGAUCCAGAUUUGUUGAGUUCCAGCAAAGCAGCUGACAGCAAGUUAUCUGAUUCUGAGUCAUUCCUACAUUUUAAGUUUCAUUUAUCUGGAUGUAAUGUUCCUUCAUCAAAUUCACAAUGCUCAGAAGUGAAAGGCAUCAGAUCAGAUGAUGCACAUCAGGCUGUUUUGGGGAAUGGUAGCCCUGUUGAUGGAGCAGCAUCAUCAGAAAACACCCAUGAUGAUCCUCUGAAAGUCAGGAGGUCCACAUCUGUGAGCUGCGAAAAGUCUAGUCAUCAUAUGGAUAAUGAAUCUAGUGAUUAUUUAAAUGUGCCAAAGACAACUGAGAUGAAAUCUUUGCCAUCAUCCUCUUCAUAUGCUCAUCUGCCUUCGAAUAGUGAAGCUGCUUUACGUGCAGUUGAUUCUAAUCUUUCAAAGUCCAAUGAUCUUAAAUCCCCAUCCUUACACUCUCACAGAUCGGAUGUUAGUGUCAAUAACACUGUCAGUACUUCAUAUCUAUCUAAGUCCAGAGUAUCAUUUAGUGCUUCUCAAACCCAUUUGGCAUCUAGGGACAAUGGGCAUUCAGUUCUAAAUGUGAAAUCUGGAAAACUUGAUAAUGUUGAAGCUGAAGCACUGACCACCUCUCCAACUAUUAGUGGGCUGAAAUCAUCAAUGCGGAAAGUUGUUGACCAACUCAGAGGACCUAAAUCUGGAAAAUACAGUGAUAAGGGGCUCUUUUCAUAUGAUUAUUUUGUGAAGCUAUAUGCUUCGAACAAGGUAGAAUUGCGACCUUGUGGCCUCAUCAAUUGCGGAAACAGUUGUUAUGCGAAUGCUGUACUUCAAUGCUUAUCAUUUACUCCUCCUCUGACUGCAUAUUUUGUUCAAGGACUCCAUUCUAAACAAUGUGUAAAUAAAGAAUGGUGCUUCACUUGUG